UACGUAGGUGGCAAGCGUUGUCCGGAUUUAUUGGGUUUAAAGGGUGCGUAGGCGGCCUUAUAAGUCAGUGCUGAAAUAUCCCGGCUUAACCGGGAGGGUGGCAUUGAUACUGUAGGGCUUGAGUGCAGUCGAGGUAGGCGGAAUUGACGGUGUAGCGGUGAAAUGCUUAGAUAUCGUCAAGAACACCGAUAGUGUAGACAGCUUACUAGGCUACAACUGACGCUGAGGCACGAAAGUGUGGGGAGCAAACAGG
rnacentral:rRNA from 1 species